CACAUCCAUCCUCCAUCUCCUUGAAGAACAAUCAAAGUUUGAGUAUUUAGAGGAAAAAAAGCUUCAGCCAUUGCAGUGUUCUUGCGCGAGCUAGCACUCCCGCGGAAGACGAUCUACCUAGGGCUUCACGUGUACUUAUCAUAGAGGGCAUUCGUGUGCGUGGCUGUGAAGUCAAGGAUCAGAUCCAUAAGUUUCUUCCAUCAUAAAUGGUCGAACUUAUUUGGGAUGAGCCCUGAACCCAAAUCUAUUGAGCUCAAACUCCCCUGUUCACUCCUUGCUAAGUCCAACCAUCCACGUCAUCAUACAAGCUUGCAUUCCAUCCUCCCUCAUGUCCAAAAGUCUUGCUCCCAGCCGUAUCUAUCAUCUUCAUCACGUCUUAAUCUCAACUAAACUCCCAGCUCCCGAAUCCCGAAUCUCCCAACGUCCGCGUUCACCUCCCCUGCUCAAAUGAUCCCAAGCCUCCCCUGCAUCCUCAUACCGUUCAUCAUCCUUAUCCCUUAUCCAACCGUUCCCAAGCUUCAUCCCAAUGGCAUCAUCACCUUCCUCUUGUUCUGGACUCCUUCCGUUCACAAACAAAUUCCCAGCUCAUAUCACCUUGUCACAGCUCAUCUCCCCUCCUCUUCGCCUGUAGGAUAAACUCAAAUCCUAGCUUCUUCCUGAUUGAUCCCAUAGCCAUCCCAACUAACUCCAAUCUUCAUCCCGGUCCGAGUUGAAGCUCUGCUCCAUGUCUGGAAUCCAUGCAUCCCAUGAAUCACGGAUCAUCACAUCCUCCUUGCUCCUCGACCACGUCCUCAACCGAAUCCCCUGUUUCUCCGUGACCUCCUCCAUAUCCAACUGCAUCAUCCGAACUUCCUCAGCCAAGGAUCCUUCCACGUCAACAAACAAGAGCUCUUCCGCAUCUAAAGAAUAAGCUCACCGAUCCGAAUUUAUUCCAGAUUUUCUACCAUUCGUUAUAGCCAUUAACCACCCACGAAAACAGAACCCUCUUCCCAAGUAUCACGAAGGAGCUCUCUUCCAAGAUCUUCCUUAUCCGAUUCCCCUGUUCCGCGUGUUCCUUCUCUGCUAGAGGAGAACCAGCAACCAUACAACGUUCGGAUAGAUUUCAUCAGCCGUGAUCCCAACAUCCCAAAGCUUGCAUCUUUAUCCUCUUCUUCAAAACAGAACCAGCAAAGUCCCAGCGUCAUCUCCUCCCAGAUUUCAUUCGCAAUCAACCCACGAUUCGGCUUCAUCCUCCCGAGCUUCACGGCAUCCAAGUUUUUCCUCCCAACUUCUGGAUAAUUUUCCAGUCAUCCAGCAACCGUAUGCGCUUUUCCCAGCAAUUCUUAGCACCCGCAUUAAAGGAUCAAGUCCUCUCAACCGUGAGCUUCAUCAGCGUCAUCCCCUGCCUCAAAACAGAAUUCUUCUUCUAAUCCGAGCCUCCUCCGCAUCCUUCCAAUAUCCCACAGAUCACCUCCUCUGUUCCCAGCGGAAUCCUCUGCAUCCACAACGGCCCAACGCGUCCGGAGAUUAAGCAGAAAUCUCUCAACCUCAUCCCGCUUCAGUCCAUCCUCAUCGCAACGUGAAACGGGGAAGAAGAGAGAGAGAGGUUGCAACCUAUAAAAACCCAAACGUGCAACAGGGGAAGGCACUUCGGGGGUUCGGUUCCACAUCUCUUCACAAGCUGAAAUCCCACGGAAACAGAGGAGGGAGAAGAGUUUCUUGAGUACUUUGGGAAUGACUUUCCAAAGGAAGAGAUGACGAGGUGCUGAGAGGAAGCUGACGGGAGGAAGGAGGGAAAGCCAAUCAUUAUGAAGUCCCGCUGCUGUGCCACUGCUGCUGUCACCCACAACUCCAUGGAAGCUUGAUCUCCUCACUAGGGCUGGAUGCAGCCCUAACGAAGGACCAAGGGUUUUAUAUUUUAUAUUUUAUUUUAUAUUCUUGGGGUUGUAUGAACUUAUUGUUUUCAAUGGAUAUCUUCUUUUGAAUCA